AGUUUGAUCCUGGCUCAGGAUGAACGCUGGCGGCGUGCCUAACACAUGCAAGUCGAGCGAAGCGAUUUAGCGGAAGUUUUCGGAUGGAAGUUAAAUUGACUGAGCGGCGGACGGGUGAGUAACGCGUGGGUAACCUGCCUCAUACAGGGGGAUAACAGUUAGAAAUGACUGCUAAUACCGCAUAAGCGCACAGCAUCGCAUGAUGCAGUGUGAAAAACUCCGGUGGUAUGAGAUGGACCCGCGUCUGAUUAGCUAGUUGGUGAGGUAAAGGCCCACCAAGGCGACGAUCAGUAGCCGACCUGAGAGGGUGAUCGGCCACAUUGGGACUGAGACACGGCCCAAACUCCUACGGGAGGCAGCAGUGGGGAAUAUUGCACAAUGGGCGAAAGCCUGAUGCAGCAACGCCGCGUGAAGGAUGAAGGGUUUCGGCUCGUAAACUUCUAUCAAUAGGGAAGAAACAAAUGACGGUACCUAAAUAAGAAGCCCCGGCUAACUACGUGCCAGCAGCCGCGGUAAUACGUAGGGGGCAAGCGUUAUCCGGAUUUACUGGGUGUAAAGGGAGCGUAGACGGCAUGACAAGCCAGAUGUGAAAACCCAGGGCUCAACCCUGGGACUGCAUUUGGAACUGCCAGGCUGGAGUGCAGGAGAGGUAAGCGGAAUUCCUAGUGUAGCGGUGAAAUGCGUAGAUAUUAGGAGGAACACCAGUGGCGAAGGCGGCUUACUGGACUGUAACUGACGUUGAGGCUCGAAAGCGUGGGGAGCAAACAGGAUUAGAUACCCCUGUAGUCCUGGCAGUAAACGGUGCACGCUUGGUGUGCGGGGAAUCGACCCCCUGCGUGCCGGAGCUAACGCGUUAAGCGUGCCGCCUGGGGAGUACGGUCGCAAGAUUAAAACUCAAAGGAAUUGACGGGGGCCCGCACAAGCGGAGGAACAUGUGGUUUAAUUCGAUGAUACGCGAGGAACCUUACCCGGGCUUAAAUUGCAUUUGAAUAUAUUGGAAACAGUAUAGCCGUAAGGCAAAUGUGAAGGUGCUGCAUGGUUGUCGUCAGCUCGUGCCGUGAGGUGUCGGCUUAAGUGCCAUAACGAGCGCAACCCUUAUCUUUAGUUACUAACAGGUCAUGCUGAGGACUCUAGAGAGACUGCCGUCGUAAGAUGUGAGGAAGGUGGGGAUGACGUCAAAUCAGCACGGCCCUUACGUCCGGGGCUACACACGUGUUACAAUGGGGGGUACAGAAGGCAGCUACCUGGUGACAGGAUGCUAAUCCCAAAAGCCUCUCUCAGUUCGGAUCGAAGUCUGCAACCCGACUUCGAGAAGCUGGAUUCGCUAGUAAUCGCGCAUCAGCCAUGGCGCGGUGAAUACGUUCCCGGGCCUUGUACACAAAGCCCGUCA
rnacentral:rRNA from 1 species